rnacentral:tRNA from 1 species
GGGCCCGUAGCGCAACGGUAGCGCAGAGGACUCAUAAUCCUUUGGUUGUAGGUUCGAAUCCUACCGGGCCCACCA